UAGCUAAAUGGAUAUGCUGUGUGCCUUAAAUUACCUUCUCAUUGUUUAUGAUGCCCAUAAGUCAGUGCUGCUAAUGGCUUUGGUCAGAGGAGCUUCUUUUGCUGUGGGCCUUGUGAUGGACCAGAGUCCCGAGAAGAAGACAUUGUUGUGUGCUCAUCUUUAAAUGAGGUCUCUAUGUCAUCCCCUCCAGGGUUAAUGAUCUUAAACAUCAUUUAAGAUGGAAGCUAUGUCUAGAAGAGCCAGAGGAUGGAGAGGCUGGGAAAUGCUGCUUCCUAGGAAUAGAAACCCUGACUAAGACAGGAGCCAAUGGAGGAAAGUAAGAAAAAAACAACCUGAGUGGUAAAAUAAUGUUUUAUUCCAUGGAUGACAGACGCUACCAUGCCACAUCCCUGUGGCCCCCAACCCUUCUUGCAGCCAGAGUUGGCUCCCCUUUCAGGACUCCUGGGGCUUUGCCAAACCUGUCGAAGCAGUGAAAGCAUAUUCUGUCUGUCAGCACGAGGUCCCUCCUCGCCAAUGGAAAGCCCCAGGAGGCAACUCUUCCAACCUAACCAGAACCAAUGAUCCAAGCUCAUGUGGACAGAACCAAAGCCCCCAAACAUCAUCAACAACAAAAAUAAUCGACAUGGACAUGUCUCUGAGGACAGAGUUCCUGGGACAAUGAAAACUGACAUACGGGUCGUCAACGACCCCAAGAGGGAGUCAUGGUGAUCGGUAUACUUCAAACUAGCACUUUUGGAGAGGCCAGGUCAGCCAGAGAGGUGUCUGCAUGCAAGCUCAACACAAGGUUAGUGCCUCAGAGGGGGUGGGUUGCACAGAUGCCAGACACAUGUUUCUUGCUUUAUAUACAACGGAAUAAAAUAUACAUGGUGACAGGGGUCACAUAUCUGAUUGGUGUGUAUCUUACAGGGCUGAUGAGGUUGGAGGAAACUCACCAACCUCAUUAUCAGAGCAGGAGGGAGGAGCCAUCUCUGGGGCUGGUGCUGACAGGGAGUUCUCCCACACUGCCUGUGGGAUACUCAUGGCGUUGGCUUACUUGGCAAACCUAGGAGUGGAACCCAAUAUUCUGUCUUGUGGUUUUUAAGCAAAUGUCACCUGAAAAGACUGAACAGCUGAUUGAGGGGGAAGGGUAGCAGUUGUAAGGACACAUGUGAUGGGUAGUGGAUCCAGAGGCGAGUCCUAGCGCCACUCAGGAGCCACCGAUUGGCUUUCAGUGAGGGCUGCUGGGUGCUCUGUGCCCUUGGUGUCUGCAGUAACUCCCCCAGGUUUAACAGAGACAGUGGGUGUUCCAGAAAACUCUCUUUAUCCAAACAAGCAACAUGGCAAGUAAAACAACAAAAGACAGAAAGAAACUCAGAGUGAGACAGUCCAGGGUGGAGACGGUGGGGUAUCCAGUUAAACCAUAGAAAAACACAAAGCAGUUCUACAAGGUUAACC